rnacentral:rRNA from 1 species
GGAAUCUUCCGCAAUGGACGAAAGUCUGACGGAGCAACGCCGCGUGAGUGAUGAAGGUUUUCGGAUCGUAAAGCUCUGUUGUUAGGGAAGAACAAGUGCCGUUCAAAUAGGGCGGCACCUUGACGGUACCUAACCAGAAAGCCACGGCUAACUACGUGCCAGCAGCCGCGGUAAUACGUAGGUGGCAAGCGUUGUCCGGAAUUAUUGGGCGUAAAGGGCUCGCAGGCGGUUUCUUAAGUCUGAUGUGAAAGCCCCCGGCUCAACCGGGGAGGGUCAUUGGAAACUGGGGAACUUGAGUGCAGAAGAGGAGAGUGGAAUUCCACGUGUAGCGGUGAAAUGCGUAGAGAUGUGGAGGAACACCAGUGGCGAAGGCGACUCUCUGGUCUGUAACUGACGCUGAGGAGCGAAAGCGUGGGGAGCGAACAGGAUUAGAUACCCUGGUAGUCCACGCCGUAAACGAUGAGUG